rnacentral:rRNA from 1 species
UACGUAGGGUGCGAGCGUUAAUCGGAAUUACUGGGCGUAAAGCGUGCGCAGGCGGCGCGUUAAGACAGGUGUGAAAGCCCCGAGCUUAACUUGGGAAUUGCGCUUGUGACUGGCGUGCUGGAGUGUGGCAGAGGGAGGUGGAAUUCCACGUGUAGCAGUGAAAUGCGUAGAGAUGUGGAGGAACACCGAUGGCGAAAGCGGCCCGCUGGACCUUCCCUGACGCUGAGGCGCGAAAGCCAGGGGAGCAAACGGG